UAACAAGGAAGAGUUUGAGAGUCAGCCAUCUAUAGAAUGUGGCAUGCGGUGAGAUAAGAGUGCCGACACACAUUCGUCUAAAAGGAGAUUAUUAAAAGAAGAAAAAAAAGAGUGAAAGACAGGAAACGCAAAAUGUCUUAAUAAGUGGCAAGCUGCUACAAAACUACUUUAGACCGAGGACCGACUGUACCUAUUUUGGUAGCAGCUUGCCAAACAAUACUGUGCAUUCAUCUGUACAGAAACUUAAUGUGGUGUGUGUCAGAAGCUCAGAAAAAACUCAGAAGAAACUGGAGAGAAAAAGCCCCCUCCCCAAAACAUAAUACCAGUGUUACCACUUGACGUUAUUCUUCAAUAACACAAAGCCCAACGCAAAUCAGGGGGAGGAAAACAGGUUUAUUCAAAAGAGGAUAAAUCAUAGAUGUUACGCUGAGAGGUAGAUGGUCGUUCCUUCCCUGUUCUCAGUGAUUCUCUUCUGUGAUUCUCUCCAUCAAACAGUUCCUUCCCUGUCCUCAGUGAUUCUCUUCUGUGAUUCUCUCCAUCAAACAGUUCCUUCCCUGUCCUCAGUGAUUCUCUCCAUCGAACAGUUCCUUCCCUGUCCUCAGUGAUUCUCUCCNNNNNNNNNNUCCUCAGUGAUUCUCUCCAUCAAACAGUUCCUUCCCUGUUCUCAGUGAUUCUCUCCAUCGAACAGUUCCUUCCCUGUCCUCAGUGAUUCUCUCCUGUGAUUCUCCCCCCCCCAGAACAAAGGGACAGCGUGUAGUUUUAUAACCCAGCCCUAGCCUGUCUGCGGUUGACCAAUUAGAAUUCCUUGCAAUAAAACUGAGCCAGUGGCCAAAUAACAAAGUAUCCUAUUUCAGACUCAAUAUAUAGACAAAUUCCUCCCAUGUCUCUGCAUUAAUCCCCUAUUUCCAUUGAUCGCUAUAUAAAACUCUAUCGACUUUUAGUCCUCCGUGUCUGCGUUGUGUAUUUAUGUUCCAAAUAUUGUUAUACACUAGACACAAUCGAUAUUGACAGGUCAAACAUUUAUGAAUUAAUUUUUAAAACAAUUAAAAAAAACAUGCCCUUUUAUAUUUUAUUUUUAAACUUUUAAUUAUAAAAAUAUUUAUUACAACAUUCUUCAUUUUGCGUGUAAUUCAUUCAAUCCAGUUGAUUAAUUCAUAGNNNNNNNNNNCCUCAGUGAUUCUCUCCAUCAAACAGUUCCUUCCCUGUUCUCAGUGAUUCUCUCCAUCGAACAGUUCCUUCCCUGUCCUCAGUGAUUCUCUCCUGUGAUUCUCCCCCCCCCAGAACAAAGGGACAGCGUGUAGUUUUAUAACCCAGCCCUAGCCUGUCUGCGGUUGACCAAUUAGAAUUCCUUGCAAUAAAACUGAGCCAGUGGCCAAAUAACAAAGUAUCCUAUUUCAGACUCAAUAUAUAGACAAAUUCCUCCCAUGUCUCUGCAUUAAUCCCCUAUUUCCAUUGAUCGCUAUAUAAAACUCUAUCGACUUUUAGUCCUCCGUGUCUGCGUUGUGUAUUUAUGUUCCAAAUAUUGUUAUACACUAGACACAAUCGAUAUUGACAGGUCAAACAUUUAUGAAUUAAUUUUUAAAACAAUUAAAAAAAACAUGCCCUUUUAUAUUUUAUUUUUAAACUUUUAAUUAUAAAAAUAUUUAUUACAACAUUCUUCAUUUUGCGUGUAAUUCAUUCAAUCCAGUUGAUUAAUUCAUAGGCGUCCGUAUUUAUAAAGACCCAUUUGGUUGGUUUCUACAUGAUUUAGAGACGAGACUCAGUCCACCUCCCGUUUCAAUCGAAGCCUGUUUGCAUAGAUUCCAGGAGACAUAAUAACAUCUCUGGGCAAGUCUAUCCUUCGUUUCACAACGCAGAAACAAAAGUAGGAAAGAAGAGAUGACAUAACGUAAAAAUGUAAAAAGUGAUAAGGCGAGAUUUUUGUCAAUUCAUUUUCUCUACUUCCUCAGAGUCAGAUGAGAUAACGGAUACCAUUUCCAUGUCUCUGCAUUCAGCACGAAGGAAGUUAAGAAGUAAUUUCAUUAAAAUGGUAUUUACAUGCUUCUGACUGUGGGUAUGUUGAUAAAGGUUGAUAAAGGGCUCAAUUGCCCCCCCCCCCCCAAAAAAAAAUCUCGCAAUAUCCCUUUACAUCAAAAUGAAAACACGACAACCAGAACUCCUUAAACAUCAUAUGAUUAUUGAUUACAUGAUCAGUUCAUGAUGUCACAGAGAUGGAACAGCUGCCACAUGGUGUAAACAUGACGAACAGUUAACAUACCAGGAACUAAUAAUAUUGGAGAUCUUAUUAAAAGCUGGACGCUGGGAGAGACAUACGGAGUGGCAAAACAAUUAUUUGGCUGUCAGUUCCAGAGAGAUGGCUGUAAAGGGGGGAAAGAGGUGCUGAGGAAGACGACUGCUGAGGAAGACGACUUCUGCCCCUCUCUCUCUCUCUCUCUCACACGCGCGCACGUGAAGAGUUGAACACACUCACAAAACAUCAAACAAUCAAUACAAUUUGAAACGGUUGCUUGAAUGUCUUAGCGUU
rnacentral:lncRNA from 13 species